UACGUAGGGUGCGAGCGUUAAUCGGAAUUACUGGGCGUAAAGCGUGCGCAGGCGGUCUGUUAAGACCGAUGUGAAAUCCCCGGGCUUAACCUGGGAACUGCAUUGGUGACUGGCAGGCUUUGAGUGUGGCAGAGGGAGGUAGAAUCCCACGUGUAGCAGUGAAAUGCGUAGAGAUGUGGAGGAAUACCGAUGGCGAAGGCAGCCUCCUGGGCCAACACUGACGCUCAUGCACGAAAGCGUGGGGAGCAAACAGG
rnacentral:rRNA from 1 species